rnacentral:lncRNA from 1 species
AAAGGCACAUAAAAAACCUGGAAGCAGAGAUGCAGUGUAACUGACUAUCAGUUCUCCAUUCAGUAACUAUAAUUUUCUUUCCUUGCUUGAUAGGUACUUUUAAAUUUGGCUGACUUAGAACCAUUAGUUUUGAUUGGAUCAAGUUUACUAAGCCAGCCAUCUCUUAGAAGGCUGAACAACUGGACAUUGCUUUCCAGAGUGAUGAGCCAGAACACCAUUGCUCCAAUGAGAACUUGCUCCAAUAUUAAGCCUGAAAUAUAAUAAUACCAGCACUAGGUUUUACAGAAAGAAGAGGAUAAAUAAUUUAUAUUUGCAAUCCUUCCACCUUUAUGAAAAAUGUGAAAAUUCUGCUCUACAGGUCUUCAGGUCUUUUGAUAUGAAAUACACACUUGUCAACAUUGCUGAGAUUCCUUGUCUGUGGAGAUAA